rnacentral:rRNA from 1 species
UACAACGAGCGGCAAGUCGGUGACGGCAAGCAAAUCUCUUAAAGCCAGUCUCAGUUCGGAUUGUAGGCUGCAACUCGCCUACAUGAAGUCGGAAUCGCUAGUAAUCGCGGAUCAGCACGCCGCGGUGAAUACGUUCCCGGGCCUUGUACACACCGCCCGUCACACCACGAGAGUUUGUAACACCCGAAGUCGGUGAGGUAACCUAUUAGGAGCCAGCCGCCUAAGGUGGGAUAGAUGAUUGGGGUGAAGUCGUAACAAGGUAAC